UCCCAAAUAUACUAGCCGGUUAGGAGACGUGGGUUUUCACCCACGCGAGCCGGGUUCGGGCCCCGGUUUGGGAA